CACUCUCUCUCUCUCUCACUCAAACUCUCACUCUCUUUCUCGUCCGAAACCCAUUCGAAAAACAGAGCACGGUUUCUCCGGUCUCUCUCUCCCACCUCAGGUCACCACAAGACACCAGACCACGUCCCACACCUUCGCCUCGAUAUUUCGCAGGUGCAGGUGGGCAGCCUUGCGAUGUAGAACAAUCGGAAGCGGCGGCGGGAAGCUCCGGCCGGUUUGAGCUCGUUUUGGUUCCAAGCUUGAUAUCUCAAGCUACCGGUCACCAAUCCUCACCAAACUUCAUCCUCGAGCUCACUUCAACCUCCUGAAACUCCCAUAAGUGUCCUUACACGGCGGCGCUGCGCGUGGUGGCAGCUGGAAGCCAGCCCCGAUCAAAAAUCGAAAACGAAAACCUUCCGAUGGUGAUAUCUCGAGCUGUAGUGCAUCGUUUUGAGUGAUUCUUGAACCAGUGAGCUCACCCUGAUGUUCUUAACAACUCUCUAGAAGGAAUCAAACCCUAAAAUUGAAGUUUUUACGUCGGAAUUCCAGCUCACCGGAUUCUGGAAAUUUUCCGGCCAACGAAGGUUUCGAUCAAGAUAUCUCGAGUUUUAGAGCUUCGUUUUGAGUGAUUCUUGAACCAAUGAGUUCUUCUUGAUGUUAUUAACAACUCUUCAGAAGUAAUCGAGGCCUGAAAUUGAAUUUUUUACGUCGAAAUCAAGCUCGCCAUUUUCUGCAAUUCUCGCCGGUUCCUGGAAAAAUUCCGGCCACCUAGACUGUUUUAGGUGAUCGACGGGAUGAUUUGGCGGACGAUGGUGAAUCGUUGAUUUGGCUGUUAAGAAGACGCAGUUGGAUUAGAGGUGAGUAAACCUCACAUGGUUCAUAUUACGAACCAAAUGUCUUUAAUUACCUUGUUUAUAUUGUGAUUUAAGUGAAAAUACGUAUGGAAAUACAAUAUAUCAUGUUAUUGUUGAUUUUAUUGUGAGAAAGCAUAAGUGAGUCGAGGUGUAACAUUUGAGUCAUAUAGGAUGACCUUUAAAAUGUUUUGAUCUACGGUUUGGUCACCAGUGGUGACAGAGGCAAGGUCUUCGUAAGCGUGAACCUUGGCCCAGGUGACACAUUACGAAUGAUUCAGUUAGAGCUCUAGUCUGUCUGCCAUAGUAUGACAUGAAAGCAGCGAGUAGUAGAAUUACUCGUGAUCAUGAAUACAGUAUGACAUGAAAGCAGCGAGUAGUAGAAUUACUCGUGAUCAUGAAUACACUUUUGAAAUUUGACGUA